AUAAGUCUUUUAUUAUUUGUAGCGUUUAUGUGCAACACUCGCUACAGUGCGUUGAUGCUUGAGUACUUCUUGAAGAUAGAGAGACCAUUUUAUCAAGUGUUUAUGGAUCUCUGCCUCAGGGAUGAAGAUAUAACACAGGGUACUCUUCCCACUCCUCCGAUUAUCAAGUGUGGUACUCACAAAGGGAAGCCAGAGAUUUAACAACACAAAGAACCGUAGAACGGGAAAGGAGUUCAGUCUUCGAGCUGUUCGACGGUCUAGCAACGGAGAUGUCUGAUGGAGUUUGAAGGGUCCACUCGUUUUGAGAUGGUAAAGAUGAAGAACACUGGAUUACGAAGAAUCAUAUCUCAUGUACUAGGAGAGAGUGCAAGAUCAACUCAAGUAGCAAAAGAAAUAUUCUUUGUCAGCAAGUUGUGCCUUAAAAAGUUUGUGUUCGCCUCAACACCAAUUGGCUCGCGUGAAAGCCUUGUACAAGUGAUUGAUGGUUGGCGUGACGUCAAUAAAUUAAAGACAAAGAAAGAUUAAGAAAGUCACUGAGAGUAGUACAGUUACAGCAAUGUGAAGGAUGACGAGAAGCGAUUUACACUCGUUGCACUUUAUUGCAGAAGCAACAUGGAAGCAAGUGAUGUUAAAUGUUGCCACCAACGCAAUAAAAGCAAAAAAAGAGAGAAUGGCUCUGACCAAAGCUGACUGUCUCUUGCUCUAAUGUUUGACAAUUUCUUUUUGUGUUGUAUUUUGUUUGAUUGCGCGUUUCUUUUUCACAAUUUUUUUGUUUUCAUCAAAAUAAUGCCCAUUUGUUAUUACUCAGUUGUACCAUAUUGAGCAAUGAAGGGAAAAUAAACCAAAUAAAUUGGACUUGCGAAAGAAA